GACGAACGCUGGCGGCGUGCUUAACACAUGCAAGUCGAACGGCGUGGCGAACGGGGGUGUGAAACGUGGGUGAAAUUGCUUGCACUUCGGGGUAAGCUUGGGAAACCGGUACUAAUAACGGCUAGGGCAAGAUGGGCGCCCGGCCUAUCAGCUGGUUGGUGGGGUAAUGGGCUUCCAAGGGGUCGACGGGUAGCCGGCCUGGGAGGGGGUACGGCCACAAUGGGACUGAGAUACGGACCAGACUCCUACGGGAGGCAGCGGGGGGGAAUAUUGCACAAUGGGGGGAAGCGUGAUGCAGCGGCGCCGCGUGGGGGAUGAAGUCUUUGGGGGUGUAAACGCCUUGCGACAGGUACGCGGUACCUGUAUAAGAAGCACCGGCUAACUACGUGCCAGCCGCCGCGGUAAUAC
rnacentral:rRNA from 1 species